rnacentral:tRNA from 1 species
GGUCCCGUAGCCAAGUGGCUAAGGCAUUUGACUGCAACUCAAUGAUCACCGGUUCAAAUCCGGUCGGGACCUCCA